rfam:Klebsormidium nitens mitochondrial DNA, scaffold: kfl01814, whole genome shotgun sequence.
UCUCUAGUAGCUCAGAGGUUAGAGCGUGUGGCUGUUAACCACAAUGUCGUUGGUUCAAAUCCAACUUAGAGAG